GCAAGUCGAGCGGGGAUAGUCCUUCGGGAUGUGUACCAGCGGCGGACGGGUCAGUUAACGCGUGAGAACAUGCCUUCUAGUGAGGAAUACCCCAGGGAAGCCUGGGUUAAUACUGCAUAUCUCCCUCUGGGAGAAAGGUGGCUUUAUGCUGCCGCUAGAAGAUUGGCUUGCGUACUAUUAGCUAGUUGGUGAGGUAAAGGCUCACCAAGGCUUUGAUGGUUAACCGGCCUGAGAGGGUGUACGGUCACAUUGGAACUGAGAUACGGUCCAGACUCCUACGGGAGGCAGCAGUGGGGAAUAUUGCGCAAUGGGCGAAAGCCUGACGCAGCAACGCCGCGUGGAGGAUGAAGGUCUUCGGAUUGUAAACUUCUGUCUAGUGAGAGAAAAGAAUUGUUAAUAAAACGGACAAUUGAUGAUAGUAUCACUAAAGAAAGCACUGGCUAAUCUCGUGCCAGCAGCCGCGGUAAUACGAGAGGUGCAAGCGUUAUUCGGAAUCAUUGGGCGUAAAGGGUGCGUAGACGGCUUUACAAGUCUGUUGUUAAAGGUCCUGGCUUAACCAGGAAAAUGCAAUGGAAACUGUAAUGCUAGAGGGUGAGAGAGAGAAGUGGGAUUCCAGGAGUUAGCGGUCAAAUGCAUAGAUCUCUGGAGGAACACCGAUGGCGAAGGCAGCUUCUUGGCUCAUUCCUGACGUUGAUGCACGAAAGCGUGGGGAGCAAACAGGAUUAGAUACCCUGGUAGUCCACGCUGUAAACGAUGAUCACUAGAUGUUGGUUCGGCUUGCCGGAUCAGUGUCGUAGCUAACGCGUUAAGUGAUUCGCCUGG
rnacentral:rRNA from 1 species